rnacentral:ncRNA from 1 species
CGCAGGCAUGCGCGGGGGUACACUCCAGGUCGCCUUGAGAGGUGGCAGCACCCCGUCGGGGGUGCGGGAUCCUAGAGCCCGGGGCCUGCGUUUCU